UUUUUAAACCCAUGUGUAUUUUAAGGGAAAUUUAAUACAUAUGCUUCUAAUUCAUGUGCACUUAACUCAUCAGAAUGUUGUUUUUUUAAGAACAAUUGAUUU